CAGACGGGAGGCAGCAGGAGGGAAUAUGGGGCAAUGGGGGAAAGAAGGAAGCAGCAACGACGCGUGGAUGAUGAAGGUUUUCGGAUUGUAAACUCCUUUUGUUAGAGAAGAUAAUGAUGGUAUCUCACGAAUAAGCACCGUCUAACUACGUGCCAGCAGCCGCGGUAAUACGGAGGGUGCAAGCGUUACUCGGAAUGACUGGGCGUAAAGAGCGCGUAGGAGGGUUAGCAAGUCAGAUGUGAAAUCCUAUGGCUGAACCAUAGAACUGCAUUUGAAACUGGUAGUCUAGAGUAUGGGAGAGGUAGGUGGAAUUCUUGGUGUAGGGGUAGAAUCCGUAGAGAUUAAGAGGAAUACUCAUUGCGAAGGCGACCUGCUAGAACAUAACUGACGCUGAUGCGCGAAAGCGUGGGGAGCAAACAGGAUUAGAUACCCCAGUAGUC
rnacentral:rRNA from 1 species